UUUCAUCGGGCAUCGUAACAUGCUACGUUACCACCCGACGGUGGGUGAGUUUGCUUACGAAUCUGCCUAUUAGUGGGGGACAACAUUUCGAAAGGAAUGCUAAUACCGCAUACGCCCUACGGGGGAAAGCAGGGGACCUUCGGGCCUUGCGCUAAUAGAUGAGCCUAAGUCGGAUUAGCUAGUUGGUGGGGUAAAGGCCUACCAAGGCGACGAUCUGUAGCGGGUCUGAGAGGAUGAUCCGCCACACUGGGACUGAGACACGGCCCAGACUCCUACGGGAGGCAGCAGUGGGGAAUAUUGGACAAUGGGGGGAACCCUGAUCCAGCCAUGCCGCGUGUGUGAAGAAGGCCUUUUGGUUGUAAAGCACUUUAAGCGAGGAGGAGGCUCCCAGUAUUAAUACUACUGGAGAGUGGACGUUACUCGCAGAAUAAGCACCGGCUAACUCUGUGCCAGCAGCCGCGGUAAUACAGAGGGUGCAAGCGUUAAUCGGAUUUACUGGGCGUAAAGCGUGCGUAGGUGGCCAAUUAAGUCAAAUGUGAAAUCCCCGAGCUUAACUUGGGAAUUGCAUUCGAUACUGGUUGGCUAGAGUAUGGGAGAGGAUGGUAGAAUCCCAGGUGUAGCGGUGAAAUGCGUAGAGAUCUGGAGGAAUACCGAUGGCGAAGGCAGCCAUCUGGCCUAAUACUGACACUGAGGUACGAAAGCAUGGGGAGCAAACAGGAUUAGAUACCCUGGUAGUCCAUGCCGUAAACGAUGUCUACUAGCCGUUGGGGUCUUUGAGACUUUAGUGGCGCAGCUAACGCGAUAAGUAGACCGCCUGGGGAGUACGGUCGCAAGACUAAAACCUCAAUGAAUUGACGGGGGCCCGCACCAGCGGUGGAGCAUGUGGUUUAAUUCGAUGCCACGCGAAAGACCUUACCCUGUUCUGACAUAGUAAGAACUUUCAGAGAUGGAUUGGUGCCUUCGG
rnacentral:rRNA from 1 species